rnacentral:rRNA from 1 species
AGAGUUUGAUCCUGGCUCAGGAUGAACGCUGGCGGCGUGCUUAACACAUGCAAGUCGAACGAAGCACCUUGAUUUGAUUCUUCGGAUGAAGAUCUUGGUGACUGAGUGGCGGACGGGUGAGUAACGCGUGGGUAACCUGCCUCAUACAGGGGGAUAACAGUUAGAAAUGACUGCUAAUACCGCAUAAGACCACAGCACCGCAUGGUGCAGGGGUAAAAACUCCGGUGGUAUGAGAUGGACCCGCGUCUGAUUAGGUAGUUGGUGGGGUAACGGCCUACCAAGCCGACGAUCAGUAGCCGACCUGAGAGGGUGACCGGCCACAUUGGGACUGAGACACGGCCCAAACUCCUACGGGAGGCAGCAGUGGGGAAUAUUGCACAAUGGGGGAAACCCUGAUGCAGCGACGCCGCGUGAGCGAUGAAGUAUUUCGGUAUGUAAAGCUCUAUCAGCAGGGAAGAAAAUGACGGUACCUGACUAAGAAGCACCGGCUAAAUACGUGCCAGCAGCCGCGGUAAUACGUAUGGUGCAAGCGUUAUCCGGAUUUACUGGGUGUAAAGGGAGCGUAGACGGAUGGGCAAGUCUGAUGUGAAAACCCGGGGCUCAACCCCGGGACUGCAUUGGAAACUGUUCAUCUAGAGUGCUGGAGAGGUAAGUGGAAUUCCUAGUGUAGCGGUGAAAUGCGUAGAUAUUAGGAGGAACACCAGUGGCGAAGGCGGCUUACUGGACAGUAACUGACGUUGAGGCUCGAAAGCGUGGGGAGCAAACAGGAUUAGAUACCCUGGUAGUCCACGCCGUAAACGA